UACGAGAGGCCCAAACGUUAUUCGGAAUUACUGGGCUUAAAGAGUUCGUAGGCGGCGCAGAAAGUAGGGUGUGAAAGCCCUCGGCUUAACCGAGGAAUUGCGCUCUAAACUACUGUGCUUGAGGAAUCUAGAGGUGAGCGGAACUGAUGGUGGAGCGGUGAAAUGCGUUGAUAUCAUCAGGAACACCGGAGGCGAAGGCGGCUCACUGGGGGAUUUUCUGACGCUGAGGAACGAAAGCCAGGGGAGCGAACGGG
rnacentral:rRNA from 1 species